CUCUGCUCCCUAAGUCCCUGCCUCAUCAAUAGACAGAAAUGACUCCGCCACUUCCUGUCUCCUGUUCAAGGUGAUAUGAGCUUUGCCUCCUAGGUAUGAGGAGCAAUUGAGGAAUUGCUUUAGUAAUAGGAGCAUAAAGUAUUGCAAAGAUGCUUCUGCCAAUUUUCUCCCUGGAGUUGACUGACUAGCCUUCUGGCCUCAUGAUCCCUUAGUGUCCAAAAAGGAGACCAAGAAAAUUCAAGGUUUAAGAAGAAUACCUAGAUGAUGAAGAAGA
rnacentral:lncRNA from 1 species